UAAAAACCCCGACUUCGGAAGGGGUGUAUUUAUUAGAUACAAAACCAAUGCCCUUCGGGGCUCUUUGGUGAUUCAUGAUAACUAUACGAAUCGCACGGCCUUGCGCCGGCGAUGGUUCAUUCAAAUUUCUUCCCUAUCAACUUUCGAUGUUUGGGUAUUGGCCAAACAUGGUUGCAACGGGUAACAGAGGGUUAGGGCUCGACCCCGGAGAAGGAGCCUGAGAAACGGCUACCACACCCAAGGAAGGCAGCAGGCGCGCAAAUUACCCAAUCCCGACUCGGGGAGGUAGUGACAAUAAAUACUGAUACAGGGCCCUUUCGGGCCUUGUAAUUGGAAUGAGUACAAUUUAAAUCCCUUAACGAGGAACAAUUGGAGGGCAAGUCUGGUGCCAGCAGCCGCGGUAAUUCCAGCUCCAAUAGCGUAUAUUAAAGUUGUUGUGGUUAAAAAGCUCGUAGUUGAACCUUGGGCCUGGCCGGCCGGUCCGCCUCACCGCGUGCACUGGUCCGGCCGGGCCUUUCCCUCUGUGGAACCCCAUACCCUUCACCGGGCGUGGCGGGGAAACAGGACAUUUACUUU
rnacentral:rRNA from 1 species